AUGCAUGUCUUUGACAGACCUGGAGCGAUUAUGUCUGCUUUUAAGGUUUCUACUAAGAUGCAAGAAAAAAUUUCCUCACACUUUCUCCCUGCCUGAUUGUGGCCGUCUAGAAUAGGGGAAUACAAGA
rnacentral:snoRNA from 1 species